GAGUCUUUGAACGCAAGUUGCGCCCGAAGCCAUUAGGCUGAGGGCACGUCUGCCUGGGCGUCACGC
rnacentral:rRNA from 1 species